rnacentral:rRNA from 1 species
AGAGUUUGAUCAUGGCUCAGAUUGAACGCUGGCGGCAUGCCUAACACAUGCAAGUCGAACGGUAACGCGAGGAGCUUGCUCCUUGGCGACGAGUGGCGGACGGGUGAGUAAUACUUAGGAAUCUGCCCAGUAGUGGGGGACAACCAGGAGAAAUCCUGGCUAAUACCGCAUACGCACUACGGUGGAAAGUGGGGGACCUUCGGGCCUCACGCUAUUGGAUGAGCCUAAGUCGGAUUAGCUUGUUGGUAGGGUAACGGCCUACCAAGGCGACGAUCCGUAGCUGGUCUGAGAGGACGAUCAGCCACACUGGGACUGAGACACGGCCCAGACUCCUACGGGAGGCAGCAGUGGGGAAUAUUGGACAAUGGGCGCAAGCCUGAUCCAGCAAUGCCGCGUGUGUGAAGAAGGCCUGCGGGUUGUAAAGCACUUUCAGUAGAGAAGAAAAGCCUAGGGUUAAUAACCCUGAGUCUUGACGUAACCUACAGAAGAAGCACCGGCUAACUCCGUGCCAGCAGCCGCGGUAAUACGGAGGGUGCGAGCGUUAAUCGGAAUUACUGGGCGUAAAGCGCGCGUAGGCGGC